rnacentral:rRNA from 1 species
AGAGUUUGAUCCUGGCUCAGGACGAACGCUGGCGGCGUGCUUAACACAUGCAAGUCGAGCGGUAAGGCCCUUUCGGGGGUACACGAGCGGCGAACGGGUGAGUAACACGUGGGUGACCUGCCCUCAGCUCUGGGAUAAGCCCGGGAAACUGGGUCUAAUACCGGAUAUGACUCCAUGACGCAUGUUGUGGGGUGGAAAGCCUUGUGCGGCUGACGAUGGGCCCGCGGCCUAUCAGCUUGUUGGUGGGGUGAUGGCCUACCAAGGCGACGACGGGUAGCCGGCCUGAGAGGGCGACCGGCCACACUGGGACUGAGACACGGCCCAUACUCCUACGGGAGGCAGCAGUGGGGAAUCUUGCGCAAUGGGCGAAAGCCUGACGCAGCGACGCCGCGUGAGGGAUGACGGCCUUCGGGUUGUAAACCUCUUUCAGCUCCGACGAAGCGGAAGUGACGGUAGGAGCAGAAGAAGCACCGGCCAACUACGUGCCAGCAGCCGCGGUAAUACGUAGGGUGCAAGCGUUGUUCGGAAUUAUUGGGCGUAAACAGCUCGUUGGCUGUCUGUCGCGUCGGCUGUGAAAACUCGGGGCUCAACUCCGAGCUUGCAGUCNAUACGGGUAGGCUAGAGUUCGGCAGGGGGAGACUGGAAUUCCUGGUGUAGCGGUGAAAUGCGCAGAUAUCAGGAGGAACACCGGUUGGCGAGGNGGGUCUCUGGACCGAUACUGACGCUGAGAGCAGAAAGCGUGGGGAGCGAACGGAUUAGAUACGCUGGUAGUCCACGCCGUAUACGUUGGGCGCUGGGGUGGGAUCCCUCCACGGCUUUCGUGCAGAGCUACGCAUAAGCGCCCGCCUGGGAGUACCGCGCAGGUUUACAUUNNAUGAUUUGCCUGC